rnacentral:rRNA from 1 species
UACGGGGGGAGCAAGCGUUGUUCGGAUUUACUGGGCGUAAAGGGCGCGUAGGCGGUCAGUGCAAGUCAGUUGUGAAAUCUCCGGGCUUAACUCGGAAAGGUCAACUGAUACUGCUCGACUAGAGUGCGGAAGGGGCAACUGGAAUUCUUGGUGUAGCGGUGAAAUGCGUAGAUAUCAAGAGGAACACCUGCGGCGAAGGCGGGUUACUGGGCCGGCACUGACGCUGAAGCGCGAAAGCUAGGGGAGCGAACGGG